GUGUUAGUUUGCUAACACAUAUACUAAAAUUGGAACGAUACAGAAAAGAUUAGCAUGGCCCCUGCGCAAGAAUGACACGCAAACUCGUGAAGCGUUCCUCAUUUUC
ensembl:snRNA U6 U6 spliceosomal RNA